AGGAUAAAACUUUCAUGGAACCCAUAAUCUGAAGAGCAAGAAAAAAGUGUAUGAAGACCGCAAAGAGGGAUAAGACAGGAGUAGUGCUAAAGAAUGUGCACUCUGACCACACAACAAUCACAGAGAAGAUGGACAGAACCACAGCAAGUAUCUUGUAAAACCAUGGUCGCAAAAGACAUUCCCAGUACCAUUCUAGAAGACAAAAGAAAAAAAUGAUUAGGAAAACUACAA
rnacentral:lncRNA from 1 species